GGCACACACCCGCCAGGUACCGUGCAAGCUUCCUGCCAAGAGACAGACCAGCUCAGUGAGCACAAUACGGGCCGUGAUGUGGGCGAAGGAGAAAAAGGUCUCAAGAGGAUAGCAUCAUCCAGAUCAAGAUCAGUGACUCCUUCAUGAGCUCAGAUAAGACGGGCUUGUGACCGCUCUGUCCCGAGUUAUCAGUUUAGAGCUAAAGCAGUUCUUCAGAAAGACAAUGGUUUUGUUCAGGCGGGCGGAUGGAGGCGCAGGAGGGUUGCUAAGCAAAGUGCAAAUCAAAACAUGGGUCUGUAACAGAAGCUUGAGAGCCAAGAUGAAAGCCAACCCGGGAGACUCACGUCAGCCCCAAUAAGAAACUUUCCUGUACUCGC